AGGGCACACUCUCCCUGCGCACCACGCACCAGAGUCGGCUAUCAGUUAGGGGUGCCCGCUUGUGUGUGCGCGCGUGGCCUGGAAGAUGGACGAGAGCCCUGGGCUUCCCACAUCCCUCUCCCGCUCACUCUGGGCAAAGAGCAGGCUUCCCCAAGUUGGCCCAGCGUGUUGCUGUCAGGUCCAGUUCCUCCCAUGCCGCCGGCAACUCUGCUGAAGGCCCUGGGCUGUGUGAGCACAGGGAAACCGUCCUCGGCAGCUCCGGCCCCAGACUUCGCACAGCAGACAUCUGGAGGCCGCACACUUCUGCGGGCCAGGCUGGCCACCUGCCCCAGCCCGUUGUGUCUCGGCUUCUGCAGUCUGUCCGAGCGAGCAAAAGCCCAUGGUGCCUUCCCUCACCCUCAGCCUUCAGAGUCAUCGCUGUCCACCUGCGGUGUGGCUCCCACCGGCUGCAGCAAGGGCUGACAAAUGCUGGGGGGGGCAAGCACCCCAAGCAACACCCUAGCCAUUGCCCCCACAGAGCUUACAUCCUGCCUUGGGAGGCGAGGAGGGGAGAUGGGCUAUCCACACUGGAAUAAAUAAAAAGCACAUUAUAUGGUGUGUUAGAUGAUG